CCUACGGGGGGCAGCAGUAGGGAAUUUUCGUCAAUGGGCGCAAGCCUGAACGAGCAAUGCCGCGUGAACGAGGAAGGUCUUCGGAUCGUAAAGUUCUGUUGAAGGGGAAAAAGAGCGGAGAGAGGAAAUGAACUCCGAUUGAUAUUACCCUUCGAGGAAGUCACGGCUAACUACGUGCCAGCAGCCGCGGUAAUACGUAGGUGGCGAGCGUUAUCCGGAAUGAUUGAGCGUAAAGGGUGCGUAGGCGGCCUGCUAAGUCUGGAGUGAAAGGUACCGGCUCAACCGGUACAGGCUCUGGAAACUGGCGGGCUAGAGAGCAGGAGAGGGCGGCGGAAUUCGUGGUGUAGCGGUGAAAUGUUUAGAUAUCACGAAGAACUCCGAUUGCGAAGGCAGCUUACUAAACUGCCACUGACAUUGAUGCUCGAAAGUGUGGGUAUCAAACAGGAUUAGAUACCCCAGUAGUC
rnacentral:rRNA from 1 species